UACACGAUUUACUUAUCUCUUUAUCUCUGUCUUUUUCUCUGCCUCUCACUCACUCGCUGCUUUUCGCACGCUACUCUGUUGUUGUUUUUGUUUUUGUUUUUUUUUGUUAAUUCAUUAUUGAGGCCAAUUGAAUUUGUGUGAAGCAAAGUGUGCAAGUAUGUGUGUAUAUGUAUGGGUGUAUGUGUCUAGCAGCGUGCUUGAAUGAGUGACGCAGCGACGGAGAGACGAAAGAGACGGAGAAUCAGAGAGACAGAGAGACAAACAGACGGACGGACUUGCCUGCGCUGCGUUGCGGACGAGUACCCGGCAAGAGACUAUGCAACACGUUUAAAUAUGCCCAACCGAACCGACGAGCGGCGAACAACAACACGAACGCCGAACGAAAAGGGAGAGAGCGCAGAAACGGAAAAAAAUAACCACACACACACAAAUGCAAGUAAUUUGGAAGAAGAAGCAGAUGACGGCAAAGAAGACGAAGAAGAAGAAGCGGGGGCAAAAGCAAAAAGCAGCAGCUGAGCAGAGUAUGAUGACGUCGCCCGCCAAAGUCUAACUGUUCGUGGCACACACACACACACACACACACAUACACACAUACAUAACGACUGGCCACCCCCUCUACCCCUCAUUCUCCCCUUCACCCUACCACCUUUGCAUUUUGCUAUGGCUUUUUUCGCGUCUUUUUAUCGAUGAGUGCUGCCUGUACUCGUGUUGUUCUUGUUGUUUGGGUCAGAAGCUCGCGGCAUCGGCUUAACCGACGUACUGCAUCCCCCACAGUUAAUAUUAAAAGCAAUUUUUUUGUUAAAUGACAGAUCCGAUGAAAACUUACAACAAAAUGAAAUGCUGUGGAAAAGAAAAGUGGAGAAGGGAGGAGUAGAUGAGUUGGGGAAGUUCCCAAGGGCUGAAAAACAAAGUCAGUAGGAGAAAGAGAGAAAGCAAGUGGAAAAGAGAGAGCGACAGCAGCUGCAGCAGGCGAAUGAAAGUGCAUAAAAAGCAGCCAACUAAAUUGUGCAUCGGAGUUUGUAUUUUUGUGUAUGUAUAUUGCAACUGCAGCAAUAACAACAAUAGCAAUCAAAGCGAGAGAACCAGAAAAUGAUAAGCAAAAGAUGCGGAUACUGAUAAUGAAAGCAGGAACAAAAGGUUUUCCCCUCCGAACAAAAACAACAGCGAAAUGCCACAAACAAUAAACUUGUUGGUGAAAAGUUGUACUAAAGCAACGCUUAACCCACUUCUUACCCAAGUGACACUUGCGAUAAGCACUUAACAAUUUAAAAAAUCUAUUAAUAACAACAUAUCAUUUAAAAACAUAAAUCGGUUUUUCACAAUUAGUAAUAAUGAUUUAUUGACAAUAGAAUUAUGUGAGGACUGACUACAAAAAUUAUUAUGUGGGCGCUCAAGAUCCAGUUGGGAAUUAUAAAUGCACAUGUAGAUAAAAACGUACAGUUUUAAACUGUACUCUGAUGGUUUCUUAAUUGGGUGGUUUUUGUUAAGUGAAAAAUACACUAAAAUUUUUAAUUACACCUGUAAUAUUUCUUGGAUUUCUUUUUUACUACAUGUGACUUGGCGGUAAAAUCCCAGUCCUAAAUAUGAUAUCACCCUUUUGGAAAUAUUAAUGCAGAUAUAAAUGCGUUUUUGCAACUUUAUUUGUAGCAUUACAAAUUCUUCUUUAAUUCCACCAACAAUACCAUUCAUAAAAAUUUUUUAAUGUUCUGUUUGGUUGUUUCCAAACAAAUUUAAGAUGA